rnacentral:rRNA from 1 species
CUUCACUGUAACUUGGCAGUGAUUUUCGGGUUGUUCUGCGUAGGAUAGGUGGGAGGCUUUGAUAUCGGGGUUCUGGCUUCGAUGGAGCCAACGUUGAAAUACCACCCUGGACAACCUGGGAAUCUAACCCGCGCCCGUGAUCCGGGCGGGGAACACUGUCUGGUGGGCAGUUUGACUGGGGCGGUCGCCUCCUAAAUCGUAACGGAGGCGCGCGAAGGUUCCCUCAGCCUGAUUGGAAACCAGGCGUAGAGUGUAAACGCAGAAGGGAGCUUUACUGUGAGACCGACAGGUCGAGCAGUUGCGAAAGCAGGCGUUAGUGAUCCGGUGGUACCGGAUGGAAGGGCCAUCGCUCAACGGAUAAAAGGUA